CCUACGGGUGGCAGCAGUCGAGAAUCAUUCACAAUGGGGGAAACCCUGAUGGUGCGACGCCGCGUGGGGGAAUGAAGGUCUUCGGAUUGUAAACCCCUGUCAUGUGGGAGCAAAUUAAAAAGAUAGUACCACAAGAGGAAGAGACGGCUAACUCUGUGCCAGCAGCCGCGGUAAUACAGAGGUCUCAAGCGUUGUUCGGAAUCACUGGGCGUAAAGCGUGCGUAGGCUGUUUCGUAAGUCGUGUGUGAAAGGGGCGGGCUCAACCCGCGGACGGCACAUGAUACUGCGAGACAAGAGUAAUGGAGGGGGAACCGGAAUUUUCGGUGUAGCAGUGAAAUGCGUAGAUAUCGAGAGGAACACUCGUGGAGAAGGCGGGUUCCUGGACAUUAACUGACGCUGAGGCACGAAGGCCAGGGGAGCGAAAGGGAUUAGAUACCCGGGUAGUC
rnacentral:rRNA from 1 species